CUGAACUAAACCAGUGCCCUGAGAUGGAAGCAGGAUAUUAUAUAAACCACCACCACAAACAGCAUACCAGGAAAACACAACUCAGAUCUUCCUGGCUCUUCCACUAGCUGUGAGACAUGGGGCAAGGCUCCAGAUUCAGCUGGGCCUUUAUUAACCAGCCCUGGAGUUAAAUCAUCAACCCAGAGGUCUGUCCUAGCCCUGGAGCCCAAGGAGACCCCUGAUUAUGCAGCAAGCAGGGCUGAAGUUUCCAUUUAAUUUUUGCAUCACAUCUUUAGCACUAUUGGACAUCCUAGAAACCUCAUUCACAAGAUUUCAAGUUUGAAGUGAUAGUGUUUGCUACCAGAGCCCCUUUUCUGUCAAAGAAAUUAGAAGCAGGAAGGUUGAUGCAUUCCCCCACAGAAAGAAAAGAGGUCUUUUAGAAUAAUGUGAAACUCACACUCUGCAUGGGGACAGAGCCACUUCCACUUGCUCCAGGCCACAGAGUUCUCUCUCCCGUGACAGUUUCCUUCCUGUGCAAUAGUAUCGCCUCUGGAACUUCCUCACCUGCCACCUGGUGCUGCUACAUGUCCACGUAUUUGGGCUCACAUAUUUUCCCACCGAUAGACAAGAGAUUACCAGAAAAGGGGUGAGGAAUCCAGAGAGAAUGUCUGCAUAAGAAGGAGGGUGGAGAUUUCUUACUGAACUAAAGGCUUCAAGAAUUGGCAAAUACCUGCUCAUCGGAUCUCACUCUGUUACCCAGGCUGGGGUGAAGUGGCACAAUCAUAGUUCACUGCAGCCUUGACCUCCUGGGCUCAAGUGAUCCUCCCGCCUCAGUCUCCCAAAGUGCUGGAAUUACAGGUGUGAGCCACUGCUCCUUGUGAUCUUACUCUUUCUACCAAUAAAAAUUCCAGAUUGUAUUAGUCUGUUCUCACACUGCUAUAAAGAACUACUUGAGAUUGGGUAACUUAUAAAGAAAAUAGGUUUAAUUGACUCAUAGUUCUGCAGGCUCAACAGGAAGUAUGAC
rnacentral:lncRNA from 1 species